CGCCCGGUUCCUAAAGCGGGUCCGGAACCCCGCAGUUGACUUCACCUCCUUCCUGCGGCACCUCCACUCUCAGCUUAAGUCAAUCCAGCCAUCGGAGAAACGCUACGGGACGUCUGCCGCGGAAGGCGUGCAAAACGAUCUCUGAAACAGGUCUGACAAAGCAACCUCGGAAGGAGAAUUCUAUCAGUUGAAGCCCUUAUUAAAUAGGCCUUCAGCACUGGCAAGACCCUUGUAACAGAGAGCUUUCUAGAGAGAACGUAUGACCAGAACACAGUCAAGAAGGACUGCAUUUCUCUCUCUCUCAUGAAGAUAACCUUCAGCUUACACAAGGACACCCAGCUGCCUUCCUGAAUGCCUGCACAUGCCCCAGUGUAGUUUCUUCAUAGUUCACGAAAAAGCAGGAUAACUUUCUAGACAACUUUAUUACUGCUUAAAAAGAUUUACAGCCUGUAACUUUUAUACCUGAAAUGAGAAAUAUCUUUUAUAUCACGAUUGCAGCAUAAACCCA